rnacentral:rRNA from 1 species
UACGUAGGGGGCUAGCGUUGUCCGGAAUCAUUGGCGUAAAGAGCGUGUAGGCGGUCCGGUAAGUCCGCUGUGAAAGUCGGGGGCUCAACCCUCGAAUGCCGGUGGAUACUGUCGGGCUAGAGUGCGGAAGAGGCGAGUGGAAUUCCUGGUGUAGCGGUGAAAUGCGCAGAUAUCAGGAGGAACACCUAUUGCGAAGGCAGCUCGCUGGGACGUAACUGACGCUGAGACGCGAAAGCGUGGGGAGCAAACAGG